GCCAGACUCCUACGGGAGGCAGCAGUGGGGGAUAUUGCACAAUGGGGGGAACCCUGAUGCAGCGACGCCGCGUGGGUGAAGAAGCGCCUCGGCGCGUAAAGCCCUGUCAGCAGGGAAGAAAAUGACGGUACCUGACUAAGAAGCCCCGGCUAACUACGUGCCAGCAGCCGCGGUAAUACGUAGGGGGCAAGCGUUAUCCGGAUUUACUGGGUGUAAAGGGAGCGUAGACGGUGCAGCAAGUCUGGAGUGAAAGGCAGGGGCCCAACCCCUGGACUGCUCUGGAAACUGUUGUACUUGAGUGCAGGAGAGGUAAGUGGAAUUCCUAGUGUAGCGGUGAAAUGCGUAGAUAUUAGGAGGAACACCAGUGGCGAAGGCGGCUUACUGGACUGUAACUGACGUUGAGGCUCGAAAGCGUGGGGAGCAAACAGGAUUAGAUACCCGAGUA
rnacentral:rRNA from 1 species